CCUACGGGAGGCAGCAGUGGGGAAUAUUGGGCAAUGGGCGAAAGCCUGACCCAGCAACGCCGCGUGAAGGAAGAAGGCUUUCGGGUUGUAAACUUCUUUUGACAGGGAAGAGCAGAAGACGGUACCUGUCGAAUAAUCCACGGCUAACUACGUGCCAGCAGCCGCGGUAGUACGUAGGUGGCAAGCGUUGUCCGGAUUUACUGGGUGUAAAGGGCGUGUAGCCGGGCUGACAAGGCAGAGGUGUAAUCCGCGCGCGCAACCCCCGCAGUGCAUUUGAAACUGUGGGUCUUGAGUAUACGUGGGGUACAGGGAAUUCGUGGUGUAGCGGUGAAAUGCGUAGAGAUAA
rnacentral:rRNA from 1 species